rnacentral:lncRNA from 1 species
UUUUAAUUUUAAUUAGUCGAACGUGUUAAAAGUUGUGGCGUGCAUACAAAACAAACCCUUAUAUUAUUGAUGAUAAAAAUUUAAGAAAACUAUAGUGAAUAAAAAGAACGUUUAAAACUAUACACCUACACAUGAUAACAGAUAACUAUUGGCCUGUACCUGCCCAAAAUCCGGUGCAAAUACAGCCGGUAUUCAUUUUUCCUUUUUUGCAUUAAAAAAAACGAUUCACACGACCAUAACCACGUCAGCAACGCUAAUAUGACCCCUUUAUAUAGCGAGAAAUGGAGGUUUGGGUUUUCACAAAUUCCUCAAUUCCUUUAUUCCUAUCUUCCUCGAUAUCUCCUUGUAGCUUUCUACACAACGAUGGCUAAAUUUCAACGGUAUGGUUAUUUUCCUUUAACUACUUUUGUUGAUCGUUGUUCUAAUUCCAUUUUCAUCUGCAUCCAUUUUCUAGGUUUUCCAUGGAUCUGAAAUCUGGCUCCUCAGAUCUUUCAUUCCGUGGCGAGAUCUGCGUAUUCGUAUUACUUUUGAAAUCUCUUCGUGUUCGUCACUGUUGUUGAAUCAUCCUGUACAAUUGGAUUGUUGCGAUGAUGGUAUCUCAUCGCUGCUUGCUUCAGUUUCAUUUGUUGUAGAGAAGAUUAUUGUAACGGAAGCGUUGCUGGCUUGUUGCUUCUCAUUAACGUCAAAUCUCUAUUCAUGUUGUGAAUUUAGAUUAUGUGAUUGUUGUUUGGGGGAUGAAGUUGUUCUGAAUAAUAUAUUUGUGANNNN